UACAGAGGUCUCAAGCGUUGUUCGGAUUCAUUGGGCGUAAAGGGUGCGUAGGCGGCGCGGUAAGUCGGGUGUGAAAUCUUGGAGCUUAACUCCGAAACUGCAUUCGAUACUGCCGUGCUUGAGGACUGGAGAGGAGACUGGAAUUUACGGUGUAGCGGUGAAAUGCGUAGAGAUCGGGAGGAACACCAGUGGCGAAGGCGGCUACCUGGACCAGCACUGACACUGAAGCACGAAAGCGUGGGGAGCAAACAGG
rnacentral:rRNA from 1 species